rnacentral:rRNA from 1 species
UACGAAGGGGGCUAGCGUUGCUCGGAAUCACUGGGCGUAAAGGGUGCGUAGGCGGGUUUUUAAGUCAGAGGUGAAAUCCUGGAGCUCAACUCCAGAACUGCCUUUGAUACUGAAAGUCUUGAGUAUGACAGAGGUGAGUGGAACUGCGAGUGUAGAGGUGAAAUUCGUAGAUAUUCGCAAGAACACCAGUGGCGAAGGCGGCUCACUGGGUCAUUACUGACGCUGGAGGCACGAAAGCGUGGGGAGCAAACAGG